rnacentral:rRNA from 1 species
UACGUAGGGGGCAAGCGUUGUCCGGAUUUAUUGGGCGUAAAGAGCUCGUAGGCGGUCUGUCGCGUCGGAUGUGAAAACCCAAGGCUCAACCUUGGGCCUGCAUUCGAUACGGGCAGACUAGAGUUCGGUAGGGGAGACUGGAAUUCCUGGUGUAGCGGUGAAAUGCGCAGAUAUCAGGAGGAACACCGGUGGCGAAGGCGGGUCUCUGGGCCGAUACUGACGCUGAGGAGCGAAAGCGUGGGGAGCGAACAGG